AAUAGAUACCCCGGUAGUCCACCCCGUAAACGUUGGGAACUAGUUGUGGGGUCCAUUCCACGGAUUCCGUGACGCAGCUAACGCAUUAAGUUCCCCGCCUGGGGAGUACGGCCGCAAGGCUAAAACUCAAAGGAAUUGACGGGGACCCGCACAAGCGGCGGAGCAUGCGGAUUAAUUCGAUGCAACGCGAAGAACCUUACCAAGGCUUGACAUAUACGAGAACGGGCCAGAAAUGGUCAACUCUUUGGACACUCGUAAACAGGUGGUGCAUGGUUGUCGUCAGCUCGUGUCGUGAGAUGUUGGGUUAAGUCCCGCAACGAGCGCAACCCUCGUUCUAUGUUGCCAGCACGUUAUGGUGGGAACUCAUGGGAUACUGCCGGGGUCAACUCGGAGGAAGGUGGGGAUGACGUCAAAUCAUCAUGCCCCUUAUGUCUUGGGCUUCACGCAUGCUACAAUGGCCGGUACAAAGGGCUGCAAUACCGUGAGGUGGAGCGAAUCCCAAAAAGCCGGUCCCAGUUCGGAUUGAGGUCUGCAACUCGA
rnacentral:rRNA from 1 species